rnacentral:rRNA from 1 species
CAUUACCGAGUUAGGGUCUUACAUGGCCCAACCUCCAACCCCUUGUGUACAUUGAAUUGUUGCUUCGGCAGGCCAAUGUGCCUGCCGGAGCCCUAAAUCAAAAACAUUUUAUGGUGUCGUCUGAGUUUAAACAUCAAAUCAUUAAAACUUUCAACAACGGAUCUCUUGGUUCCCGCAUCGAUGAAGAACGCAGCGAAAUGCGAUAANGUAAUGUGAAUUGCAGAAUUCAGUGAAUCAUCGAAUCUUUGAACGCACAUUGCGCCCCUUGGCAUUCCGAGGGGCAUGCCUGUUCGAGCGUCAUUAUAAAAUCUCAAGCCUCUUGCUUGGUGUUGGGUCUUCGUCCCUCCCCCAUGAAAGGGGGGGCUGGACGUGCCUGAAAAUCAGUGGCGGUGCCACGAUGGUCUCAAGCGUAGUAGACUCUCUCUCGCUUUGGAUGGCUUGUCGUAUGGCUCACCAGCCUCAUCAUUAGAUGAACUUCUAAAAAGGUUUGACCUCGGAUCAGGUAGGGAUACCC